AUACUUACCUAACAGUGGAGAUACUAUGAUCACAAAGGUGGUUUUCCCAGGGCGAGGCUUAUCCAUUACACUCUGGAUGUGCUGACCCAUGCGAUUUCCCCAAAUGUAGGAAACUCAACUGCAUAAUUUGUGGUGGUGGGGACUGCAGUUAUGCUGUCCCCUG
rfam:Callithrix jacchus chromosome 1, whole genome shotgun sequence